rnacentral:tRNA from 1 species
GCCCUCAUCGUCUAGUGGUCCAGGACACUGCCCUCUCACGGCGGAGAUCGCGGGUUCGAAACCCGCUGGGGGUG